UUUUUAAUUUUUUUUUUUUUGGUAAACGGAUCUCCUCCCUGUUGGGAGAAGAAAAACCCAACCACCAAACAAACCCCUCACAACAAUGCCCUUCUCUCUGGGACCAAUUUCCAGACUGCACAGCAGUCCUGACAAGGUCAACAAGCUGGAGCGGACCUCUCUGGUGAUCCAGUGGUUAAGAAUAUGCCUUCCAAUGCAGGAGAUACGGUCCAGAUCUCUGAUCGGGAAACUAAGAUCCCACGUGCCUAGCAGCAACUAAGCCCAUACACCACAACUACUGAGCCCGUGUGCCGAAAGCCUGUGCUCCGCAACAAGAGAAGAGUAGCCCGCACGCGGCAACUAGAGAAGGCCUGCAAGCACAUAGCAGUGAAGACCCAGAGCAGCCAAAAAUGAC
ensembl:lncRNA